rnacentral:lncRNA from 1 species
GAGAAGGUACACAGAGCAUUGACAUUUGCUCCAGCUCUAGAAGCGCACCUCUGAGAUUUCCUGGCUGACACAUCGCAUCUCCCUCUGGCCACAGCCAAGCAACACCAGAUGUCUGCAGUAGCCGUAACACUUUGGAUUCCUGAUGGAAAACUCCAAGACGAGCCUCUCUGAAAUACCUGCUUCAUUUUGGCUUCAUUUUCAUGCCUCAUUAUCUGACCCAUUUACUUCUUACCUCAGGGCACAGACCACGGCUCUGACACUCCGUAAAAUCCUCUGAGAUGGGGAAGAGUGAAAAUGACACACCGGUGGGGCAAGGUGGCUCAUGCCUGUAGUCCUAGCACUUUGGGAGGCUGAGGCGAGUGGAUUACCUGAGAUCAGGAGUUCGAGACCAGCCUGGCCAACAUGGUGAAACCCUGUCUCUACUAAAAAUACAAAAAUUAGCCAGGCGUGAUAGUGGGCACCUGUAGUCCCAGCUACUCUGGAGGCUGAGACAGGAGAAUCGCUUGAACCCCGGGGGGCAGAGGUUGCAGUGAGCUGAGAUGGCACCACUACACUCCAGCCUGGGUGAAAGAGUGAAACUCCGUCUCGGGGGGGGGGAAAAAAAGACACAGACCUCUCAGGGCAUGGCUGCUUAGGAGGCUAUGAGGCUCUUGCAAGAUUUUCCCCAUUUUUCAUGGCUGCCCUCAGAGGAUAGAAUUGCCACAAUUUUAAGGAUAAAGAAACAGGCUUGGAGAGGCCAGAGGCUUGCCCAAUACCACACAAACAGGGGUGCCUUUGUGUUUCUGGGUCAAUGCUGUUUUUCACACAGACUGGACCUCAUGGGGGUCAGGAGCAGUGGGACCACCUCGUGCUCUCUCCGCGCUUAUACCUUCUCAUGGUGUCAAUCUCCCCUUCCCUCCCAGACAGAGCAAUGCAUGCUUGCCACCUUGAUGGUGCAAGCAUCACUAGAUCUGAAUUUGAGGUGAGGAAAUUCAAGGCAACCACAGUACACGUUGUCCCCCGUCGGACCCAGGGAAAGGCACUUGAGACAGGAGCAGGCCUGUGGUGCUCUUGGCACAAGGCAAAAUGGAGGAACAGGGUGGUGGUGGCAGGGUGCCCUAACCUGGUCUUGGGGGGUUUAAGAGGUUCCUGUUUUGAAGUGUUUCAAUUGCCAGUGAGAGUGAGCCAUGGAGAAUAAAAAUGUACAAGUAAACAGUCGUUCCACUUAUACACAGUUAAGGACUUGUGGGAGGGGGGCAAGUUCCAGUUUUUCAACAUAGUUUCUGAUUGAAAGUGCCAUUGUAACCCUCAUUAUGGCCACCAGCUUAAAUUUGAGGGCUCCCUUUGCCCUGGAAUAAACCCCUAGUUUUCAGACUUCCUG